AUAAUGGCAUGGUAUGAGGGUCACUAAGCAAGGCCCGAGGCUUGGGAGAGGUUGAGUUAAGGUUUAGCUAAGGUAGUACCUAGGGUCCCUUAAGGUAGUACCUAAGAGUAUAGUAGUCCCAAAAAACCAUUGGUGGACCACUUGUUCACCCAUGAGAACCACAUAAUGGUAUGGUAUGAGGGUUACUAAGCAAGGCUCGAGGUUUGGGAGAGGUUGAGUUAAGGUUUAGCUAAGGUAGUACCUAGGGUCCCUUAAGGUAGUACCUAAGGUACAGUCCCAAAAAACCAUAGGUGGACCACUUGUUCACACAUGAGAACCACAUAAUGGCAUGGUAUGAGGGUCACUAAGCAAGACUCGAGGCUUGGGAGAGGUUGAGUGAAGGUUUAGCUAAGGUAGUACCUAGGGUCCCUUAAGGUAGUACCUAAAGGCCAUUAAGGUAGUACCUAAAGGCCAUUAAGGUAGUACUUAAGGGCUCUUAAGGUAGUACCUAAGGUAUAGUCCCAAAAAACCAUAGGUGGACCACUUGUUCACACAUGAGAACCACAUAAUGGCAUGAUAUGAGGGUCACUAAGCAAGACCCGAGGCUUGGGAGAGGUUGAAUUAAGGUUUAGCUAAGGUAGUACCUAGGGUCCCUUAAGAUAGUACCUAAAGGCCAUUAAGGUAGUACCUAAGGGCUCUUAAGGUAGUACCUAAGGUACAGUCCCAAAAAACCAUUGGUGGACCACUUGUUCACACAUGAGAACCACAUAAUGACAUGGUAUGAGGGUCACUAAGCAAGGCCCGAGGCUUGGGAGAGGUUGAGUUAAGGUUUAGCUAAGGUAGUAC
rnacentral:lncRNA from 1 species